rnacentral:lncRNA from 1 species
UGUAACCAUCUCUCCAGCACAAGGACAGGUGGUGCCUCAUUCUCACAGCUGGUUUCUGACCAUGUAGUGCCAGUCAGUGACCUUGAGACAUGACCCUGCUCACCUGCGACAUGAAGGAGGAGGAGACCAGGGAUUUAUCAGCCACACCGACCCCCCUUGAUGGCUACAGGGAUCCAGGCGUGUUUGCCUCCUGGAAAUGUGCAGAAAAAUCCGUGACCCGUCUGAACCCACGUGGAGAAAACUGGAGGAGGAGUGAACUCAGGAUGGAUGAAUAAUGCCAAAGAUAAACACGUAAUAAAUAGGGCCAGCUCCCGCCGAGGCUCCAGGACCGCCAUGCCCCGCUAUUUGAUGUCCCCGGGCAGAGGCAGACAGGAAGGGCCAGCUUCCAGAGAGCCAAACACCAC